rnacentral:rRNA from 1 species
GUUCAGUGUACCCAAUGCAUUUGAUGGAUGCCCGAGCAUUGAGAAGGAAGGACGCUUGAAAAGGCAAAAGGCCAUGGGGAGAUAUCGUCUGUGAUCCAUGGAUCAUCUGAUCGGGAAACCGUAUCCAACGUGGCUAGUCUGCGCUCUUAGGACUUUGAAAACAUAGCGAACUGAAACAUCUGAGUAGCUAAAGGAAGGGAAAUCAACCGAGACCCCGUUAGUAUCGGCGAGCGAGAGCGGAUUGGGGCUUUGAAGAAAAAGAAACACGAAGCUUACCACGAAGCUUCGCGCUAGCAAAGCAAAGCAAUUCAAUCUUCUUUCAUCCUCGAAGCGAAACGAAGCAAAGGUGCGGAGCCGCUUAACCUCGUUCCUCUUGCUUCGCUCAUGGCUCGCUCAGUGCUUACGCACUUCGCUUCCUUUCCUAUUAGGCUCGUUUCGUAGAACUGCACUCGUUUAAACGUAACUCGGGCCUAACAAACUAGUUUUCGUAGGCUCCUAUUAAGCUCGUGUAACUGGUUCUCAUUGGUUUCAUUCGAUUUGUUGUGGAUUGGAUGAUGGAAAAACCGUUGGUCCGGGAAUUGUGAAAAGGUUGGAAGAUCUGACCCAAGAAGGUGAUAGUAGAUUAGUUCCCAUGGUUCGAUCCUUCCCAGUAAAACGCAGCGUGUUCGAAUUCUGAUCGCUUUUACAAGAGAAAGGGGGACCACUCUCUAAGCCUAAGUCUUCCUCAAUGACCGAUUGUGUACAAGUACCGUGAGGGAAAGGUGAAAAGAACCCUAUUUAGGGAGUGCAAUAGAGAACCUGAGAUCCAAUGCGAACAAUCAGUCGAAGGAGCAGAGCUUAGAGCCAAACGGCGGGUGCACUCAAUCUAACGGUGUACCUUUCACAUGAUGGGUCAGCGAGGAAAUGGGAACAGUGGCUUAAGCCAUUAGGUGCGCUUUCCAAAUGUUGAAUCUUUUAGUUUUUCCUAUUUGACCUGAAACUGAUCAAUCUAGCCAUGCGCAGGUUGAAGAGAGCUCUAACAAGCCUUAGAGGACCGAACCCACGUAUGUGGAAAAAUAUGGGGAUGACUUGUGGCUAGGGGUGAAAGGCCAACCAAGAUCAGAUAUAGCUGGUUUUUCACGAAAUCUAUUUCAGUAGAGCGUAUGGUGUCGAUGGCCCGAGGUAGAGCACUCAAUGGGCUAGGGUGGCCCCCAAAAAGCUUGACCAACCCCAGGGAAACUCCGAAGACAGGCCUAGAUCGUUUGUACGGACAGACUCUUUGGGUGCUAAGAUCUAAAGUCGAGAGGGAAACAGCCCAGAUCGUACACUAAGGUCCCUAAGAAAUCACUUAGUGGAAAAGGAAGUGAUCGAGCAAUGACAAUCAGGAGGUGGGCUUGGAAGCAGCCAUCCUUUGAAGAAAGCGUAAUAGCUCACUGGUCUAGCUCCAUGGCAUAGAAAAUGUAUCAGGGCUCAAGUGAUUCAUCGAAGCAAUGAGACCUUGAAAGCAUUUUCAAGUGUCAGUAGCAGGACGUUCUGUCAAUCGGGGAAGGUUUUUGGUGACAACACCUGGAGAUAUCAAAAGUGAGAAUGCUGACAUGACUAACGAGAAAUCCUGUGAAAAAUGUGAUCACCUGCCAGUUUAAGGCUUUCUGCGUUCAGUCAAUCUAUGCAGAGUGAAUCGGUCCCUAAGGAAGCCCCUAAUCUGUCGUCCGAUGGGUACACGCGAGUGACGAAGUUUCCUUGACUGCUGAACCAUGUCUGUCUGUUGGAGCGAAUUGGAUGAUCGGGCCGAGGGCUGCCCCCUCUUCCCCUUGCUCUCCUUUCCCUAAGAUGAACCUUGAGUCAGAAAAGCCUUUCUGACUCAGACGUGCCUGGCCCUCUAAGCUACUGGCGCUUCAAAAGGUGAAACUCUCAUCGUAGUUUGGCGACCUAAGAACAAAGAACUCAGCUGUUCAGGCAGUGGCAAGGCAAGCAAGGAGCAAAGCCAGUGGUGGCAAUGUCAAAACACUCGUUGUUGAGGGUGGGUUUGCUUUUAAAAAAAAGCGAUUGUUGAAGAAACGAAGAAAACUACACCAAGCAGGGAGAGCGCGCUAGCGAAAACCAUUAAUCUAAUGCCUUGUGUAGUAUACUUUACUCGUUCAGUAGCACAUCAGUUUUCUUGCUGCACGCUAGCGUUUUCUUGCUGGGAAAAAAACAAACCAACUUUUGCAAGCAAGAAAAGAGAUGCACUAGCGUUAGCGCCCUUGCUUCUUGCAAGAAAAUGGAUGCGCUAGUGGUGCACGCGCUUGCUUCUUGCUUUCGAGCUUACGCUUGCUGGCUGUUUGCUCUUACAAAGCACUCACUCGUUAGAGCGAAUGCUUUGAUGCUGUCGGUCCUAACUUUUGGAAAAAAGCAAAAAGGGCUCUUUACUAAUUGGGCUUUGACAAGACUUAACUAACAACUGAACUCACGCAACAAAAAGGGCUCUUUACUAUGUACUUGGUUUAGUAGGGUGCGCUAACGACUGAACUCGCUGAGGCUU